GCUGGUGGCUAUGGGGCGGGUGUUCACCUCUUCCCAUCCCGAACAGAGAAGUUAAGCCCCGCACCGCCGAUGAUACUGGGUCAACCCCCGGAAAAGUAGGUAGCCGCCACGA
rnacentral:rRNA from 1 species